AUGUCUUAUUAUUACAAUGAAGCUUUUGAAAAUCCAGACUACCACAUCUCAGAGACACUGGAAAUUGAUACAAACAGGAGAUCUCAAAGAAAUCUGUUAUCUCACCAAAACCACUAUGAUUCUUCACCAUAUGGUAACAACAGAGAGCCCAAUGGAAGAAGAGAGAAUUACUCUCCAGCCAUACCAAUGGCCUCUGUGAGACAUGGCUCUGAAUACAGAGAAAGUUUUCCAAGAGCUGAUGUCCAAAGCAGAAGUCCAUAUGGAAAAUUCCAUGAUAAUCGUUCCUUUGAGCCUGAGCCAGAAUGGGCAUACAGCCCACCUUCUCCCUUCUAUCUGUUGGAUGGCCCCUCUGCUCCCAGUUUUUCCAGUGCAUCGGAAGGUAAGAUACAAGGAUUGUGAUGAAUCAGAAUACCAAACGUUAGUCUCACCUUCCAUGAAAUAAUGAAAAUUAAAAAAGCCUUCUUGUUCAGGUAUGAAGAUUUUCACUUAAUGAAAGGAAUCAGAACACACUAAUUCUAUUUUACUGUACAUCACUGUAGCUGAAUUUUUCAAUAUCUUUCUGAAAGUGAUGAUCUUUGUUCCUUGAGGAAUGAAAGCUGUAAUACCUACCCAUUUUAACUCAAAAAAAUUAAAAAUAAAACAAACCUCAACUUAUACAGUUAUCUGAAAAGGUUCAUUGGAGGAAGAAAUAAGGGGAAGAUAGGAUGAGGUUUUUGAGACUGUUUUUAGUGAAUUUUUCUCUCUGUUGUCUAAAAGUAAAAUCUGGACUAUUGCAGUAAUUGGAGAUUUGUGUUCAUUAAGAUAUAGAUGGAUUGAAAUAGUACAGUCUGAGUUCCCCUUUAGCCUAGCAUAGCAGUUUAUUGUUAAUUUUCUCGGUAGGAACUGUUCUUCCCAUAUCCUGUAAUCUUACUGUUACAGUCAGUUUGGUUCCUGCUUGCUGCUUCUUGAAUGUAUCUAAGAGUUCUUUUCUGCAAUUAUAACCUAGAUGCAUUGGAAGAAACAUUUUUCUGUACUCUCAUAGUAAGAAAUUCUUUUAUUUUUUCCUCUUUUCAUCAUAGGAACAUGGUCUUUAAUUUAAGAUCUGAUUUGGCAAAAUCCUGUUUAUAUUAAGGUGUAACAACUUUUAUUGGUAUUUUAUUGUCUUGCUCUGUAAGUGACCAUAGAGAGAGGACAUUUCCAAACAUAGCUUUUUCCAUAGCUUUUAAUACCUGGUAGGAAGGAGAGUGUGCAUUUCCAACAUAAUCAACUAGAGGUUAAAUGUGUAGGUACUGAAAGUUCAAGAAGUACCUCUACAAGGAGAUACAGUUGCUUUUCUUUUUCUGAUUCGUUUUAGUAGCUAUAAAGGAAGUUGGCUUAAAGUAAAAAUGACAAUAACAUCAGGACAGCUUUAGACCUAAGUAGUAAAUGUGGCUGGGGGCCUGCAACAUGUGCAUCAACUAGCAGACACUUCAGUCAGUUGGGGCCUUCCAAACUAGAGGGUUGAGCUCAAAAGGGGGAGGAGGGUGUAACAUUGAGCAGAUUGGCCAUUAGCUUACUGGGGAGCUAAAGUAAGGAAAGCUGUGGCUAAACUCAUUGGCAUCAUAGCUGGAAGAUAGAUGCAUUUAAGGAAUAAAGUUUGAAUAAUUGGAUGAAAGAAGCUUGACAUAUGGAAUACCUUGAAAACAGCUGCAAUUUGGUCCCAGAAAAAUGGAAGCUGAUACAUAUAUUCAGCAUGAUUGAAUGUGAUUCUGAAACAAUCUCUCAGUCACUGGAAGGAUUUUGAAAGAAAGGAGGUGUCUUCUAGGAAGGAAACCUUCAAUAAUAGAUGUGGACGUUUAGAAUGGGUUAGAUGAGACAGUUUUCCAUGACAGCUGAAGACUGGGCUCAAUACCAUUUUUCCAGUGUGUAUCUGAAAACUUGCAUGCAAUCAUUGGGUGUGACCAGGGAACACGUGAGAGGGAGGGCAUACACUUGCAUGUAGGCAGAGAGAUUGAAGGGUAUAUUUUUAAGUUCUUUCUGUGAAAGUGAGAUUGUCCGAAGACAAUUUUGCCUAGGAGCAUCCUGACUUAUUAUACAGUUCAUGUUACUCAGCUAACUUUAUUCAGAGGAGAAACAGGAGGCCAUCUGAUGAGAUCUUCAUGACAUUUUCCACCCUGUCUGAAGCAGACCCAGGGUGUAAAGAAGGUAGGAGUCUAGAGAAGUGGUUUAAUAUUAAAUAACAUCUUGCACAAGGAUGGUUUAGUUGGCACUGUUCUUGGUUUAUCAUCAGAAUUGCAUGUAAAGUCUUUCUGUGGUUAUGAAAGCAACUUUUUUUUUUUUGUUAAUGGUAAUACUUCAUCUUUUAUACUGCAGUAGCACGCUAAAGUCCCAUGCAGCACAGUGCAGUGUGAAUUUUCGGUAAAGUUUAGUUGUUUUGUUUUGUUUUGUUUUGUUUGUUUACAAUUUAUUAGGAUAUGUUUGACCAGCUAAUGAAUUGUCUUCAGUCACUGUAUGUCUGGAAUUAGCAUCAAAUUCCAGCCAUGUGAAAACAAGCUGAUUGCCAAGUAAUAUCUUACUAUCUGUUUCAUAUCAACUAACUUCAACUAAGAUUACAGAAUAAAUAACACAAAAGUCUAGCUUUCAAAUCAUUAAGUAGUAUCUUAGAAAUGUAACUAUUAAAUGAUGAUCAGCAGUAGACCAGAACCUUACGGUCUGUUAGUAUUGUAUCUUCCUUUAUAUUACAGCUCCUUGCAUUAACAUUAAACAAACAGUAGACAAGUGACACUUAUUUUUUUAACAUUCAGUAUUGUGCUAUUUCCAUACAUCUCUAUUAGGGUACUGGUAAGGAUAUUCUGAGCAGGAUCAUUAAGUCUCAGAACCUGCCACAUGUUAGUGGCAGUGAAAGUGGGAAAUAUUAUUAUAUCAAUUUCAUAUUUUUUUAAUAAAAACUACUGUUUUAUCAUCCCAAAAUUUGGAUUUUUCAUGUUUUUUGUGCAGAAGAAAAGUUAGUUGAAAAUCUUGCAAGUAUGUCCACCCGUGAAAGGAUUAAAGCAAUACAGAAAAUGCCAGAGACCAUGAAAAAAAAGAGAGAAAUCAGGUAAAAAUAGAAGUUUAUCUGUUUAGCUUUACAAGCAGCAUAAUGUUGACAUCUAGUUAUCAAGCAUAGGUUGCCAUCUGCUCAACUUGAGUUUGUUACUUUGAGUAUGAAAGAACUGAAAAUACUGUUCACUUUUUAAAAGUUAACAUCUUGCAAGGAAAAAUAAUUUAAAGAUGUUUCAAUGUCCUUUCUGUGAGUAAGAAGAAUCUUUUACGUAAUAUGAAAUGAAACAGCAAGGCAAUGUCUUUCAGCAUGCAGGAAGACGUGAUUAUUAUUCAAAGGGAACUUGGAUGUUGGUCAUUGCAAAUUAAGAACAGACCACAUGAUCUCAGCCAUCAUUUUGUCUAGUUACAUAUAAUUAUUUAAUAUAUGUGAAUAUAUAUAUUUAUUUAUUUAUUUAUUUAUUUAUUUAUUUCCAUCAACGAGUUAGUGGAGGGUCUAGGAUAUGCUGUCAUAACUCAGCUUGUAAUGGACAAGAGCUGUGGUAUCAGCUAAUGCAAAAACAACCAUUAGAACUGACUCCACAUUCAUGAGCAUGUGUUUGCAGCAGCUUCUUUGGCUUCUUGUUUUAAUUACAACCUGUACUAUAAUGCUUGUCACCC
rnacentral:lncRNA from 1 species